GGACGGAACACUGCGACAUCAACAACGAGUCUGCCACCUUGGUAGCCAACAGCCGAAACAUUUAGACUGUUUCUUCAGCAGACGGCGAUGUGCGUCUUUCAGGUGAUGCUGCCAGCGUGACGUAUAAUCUAGUGGACGGAACACUGCAACAUCAACAACAAUGAGUCUGUAACCUUGGUAGCCAACAGCCGAAACAUUUAGACUGCAUCUGUGCAUAUUUUCCUCUUUGUUUUAAAUAUAGUUCUGACAUCUAGUUAAUUGUCCCCAUUUAAAUGUUAUACGUACAUUGUUAGUCAACUAGCUGGUUUUAUAAGUUAGCCUAGCGCUAAACGAGUCGCUCAUGCUAACAACUAGCUAGCUAACAUCUCCGACCAUGAGCUCACUAAGCUACUCUCCUGCUAAAGAAGAGGGGGACUGCUGGACGGAGAAAGAAGCUCUGGGCUGAACGUUGUUGUGAAAGAGGAGAAUGAAGAGGGGGAUGUUACAGUAAAACAAGAAGGAGAGGGUGAGGCUGUUACAGUGAAAGAAGAAGAGGAAGGGAAAGAGGAGGAUGCCGUUUUUUAAGUGAAUGAGGUGAAAGAGGGAGAGGGAACUGGUUUUGACAGGAGUCAGGAGAUCUGUUUACCACCGGAGAGAGACCAGACUCUGACAGAGGGAAGAGUUCCUCAGAGGAAACAGACCUGGAGACGCCUAACCAACACCACUGCUCCCACUGUGGAAAGAGUUUUAGGUGGUUAGGAAGCCUGAAAAUG